UACGUAGGGGGCAAGCGUUGUCCGGAUUUAUUGGGCGUAAAGAGCGUGUAGGCGGCCAGGGAGGUCCGUUGUGAAAACUCGAGGCUCAACCUCGAGACGCCGAUGGAAACCCCCUGGCUAGAGUCCGGAAGAGGAGAGUGGAAUUCCUGGUGUAGCGGUGAAAUGACGCAGAUAUCAGGAAGAACACCCGUGGCUAAGGCGGCUCUCUAGUACGGUACUGACGCUGAGACGCGAAAGCGUGGGGGAGCGAACAGG
rnacentral:rRNA from 1 species